CUAGUACGGCGAGUGAAGCGGGAACAGCUCAGAUUUGUAAUCUGGCCGUCUUUGGCGGUCCGAGUUGUAAUCUGUAGAAGCGUAUUCCGCGUCGGCCCCUGCCCAAGUCCGUUGGAAUUCGGCGCCAUGGAGGGUGAGAGCCCCGUUGGUGGCAGGGAGAACCGGUGCUUUGCGUUGCGCUUUCUAAGAGUCGUGUUGUUUGGGAAUGCAGCACUAAUGGGUGGUAAAUUCCAUCUAAAGCUAAAUAUCAGCGAGAGACCGAUAGCGAACAAGUACCGUGAGGGAAAGAUGAAAAGCACUUUGGAAAGAGAGUUAAACAGUACGUGAAAUUGUUGAAAGGGAAACGAUUGAAAUCAGUCAUGCCUCUGGGGAUUCAGCCUUCGGGUGUACUUUUCCUUUGGCAGGUCAGCGUCGGUUUCGAGGGCCGGAUAAUGGGUCGGGGAAUGUGGCUCGGCUUCGGUCGGGUGUUAUAGCCCCUUCCUGGAUACGGCUUUUGGGAUCGAGGACCGCGGCGCGCCCUCACGGGCAGGGGGUCCGCCCCUUUCCGCGCCAAGGAUGCUGGCGUAAUGGUUUUAAACGACCCGUCUUGAAACACGGACCAAGGAGUCUAACAUGCCUGCGAGUGUUUGGGUGUCAAACCCGGACGCGCAACGAAAGUGAAUGGAGGUGGGAUCCGAAAGGUGCACCAUCGACCGACCCUGAGCUACUGCGACGGGUUCGAGUAAGAGCAAGUAUGUUGGGACCCGAAAGAUGGUGAACUAUGCCUGAAUAGGGUGAAGCCAGAGGAAACUCUGGUGGAAGCUCGUAGCGGUUCUGACGUGCAAAUCGAUCGUCAAAUUUGGGUAUAGGGGCGAAAGACUAAUCGAACCAUCUAGUAGCUGGUUCCUGCCGAAGUUUCCCUCAGGAUAGCAGAGAUUCAUAUGAGUUUUAUGAGGUAAAGCGAAUGAUUAGAGGACUUGGGGAUGUAAAAUCCUCAACCUAUUCUCAAACUUUAAAUGUGUAAGAAGCGCUCGUCUCUUGAUUGGACCUGUGCAUGCGAAUCAGAAUCUCUAGUGGGCCAUUUUUGGUAAGCAGAACUGGCGAUGCGGGAUGAACCGAACGCGGAGAUAAGGUGCCUAAAUAUACGCUCAUCAGACACCACAAAAGGUGUUAGUUCAUCUAGACAGCCGGACGGUGGCCAUGGAAGUCGGAACCCGCUAAGGAGUGUGUAACAACUCACCGGCCGAAUGAACUAGCCCUGAAAAUGGAUGGCGCUCAAGCGUGUUACCUAUACUCCGCCGYCGACGUUGCUGUUUAGGCGUCGACGAGUAGGCAGGCGUGGGGGUCCGGUUGCGAAGCA
rnacentral:rRNA from 1 species